rnacentral:rRNA from 2 species
AAACCAACAGGGAUUGCCCUAGUAACGGCGAGUGAAGCGGCAACAGCUCAAAUUUGAAAUCUGGCCUCGGCCCGAGUUGUAAUUUGCAGAGGAAGCUUUAGGCGCGGCACCUUCUGAGUCCCCUGGAACGGGGCGCCAUAGAGGGUGAGAGCCCCGUAUAGUUGGAUGCCUAGCCUGUGUAAAGCUCCUUCGACGAGUCGAGUAGUUUGGGAAUGCUGCUCAAAAUGGGAGGUAAAUUUCUUCUAAAGCUAAAUACCGGCCAGAGACCGAUAGCGCACAAGUAGAGUGAUCGAAAGAUGAAAAGCACUUUGAAAAGAGGGUUAAAUAGCACGUGAAAUUGUUGAAAGGGAAGCGCUUGUGACCAGACUUGCGCCGGGCGGAUCAUCCGGUGUUCUCACCGGUGCACUCCGCCCGGCUCAGGCCAGCAUCGGUUCUCGCGGGGGGAUAAAGGCCCUGGGAACGUAGCUCCUCCGGGAGUGUUAUAGCCCGGGGCGCAAUGCCCUCGCGGGGACCGAGGUUCGCGCAUCUGCAAGGAUGCUGGCGUAAUGGUCAUCAGCGACCCGUCUUGAAACACGGACCAAGGAGUCAAGGUUUUGCGCGAGUGUUUGGGUGUAAAACCCGCACGCGUAAUGAAAGUGAACGUAGGUGAGAGCUUCGGCGCAUCAUCGACCGAUCCUGAUGUUUUCGGAUGGAUUUGAGUAGGAGCGUUAAGCCUUGGACCCGAAAGAUGGUGAACUAUGCUUGGAUAGGGUGAAGCCAGAGGAAACUCUGGUGGAGGCUCGCAGCGGUUCUGACGUGCAAAUCGAUCGUCAAAUCUGAGCAUGGGGGCGAAAGAC